GACGAACGCUGGCGGCGCGCCUAACACAUGCAAGUCGAACGGAGUCAAGAGGAGCUUGCUUUUCUUGACUUAGUGGCGAACGGGUGAGUAACGCGUGAGUAACCUGCCCUGGAGUGGGGGACAACAGUUGGAAACGACUGCUAAUACCGCAUAAGCCCACGGAUCCGCAUGGAUCUGCGGGAAAAGGAUUUAUUCGCUUCAGGAUGGACUCGCGUCCAAUUAGCUAGUUGGUGAGGUAACGGCCCACCAAGGCGACGAUUGGUAGCCGGACUGAGAGGUUGAACGGCCACAUUGGGACUGAGACACGGCCCAGACUCCUACGGGAGGCAGCAGUGGGGGAUAUUGCAAAAUGGGGGAAACCCUGAUGCAGCGACGCCGCGUGGAGGAAGAAGGUUUUCGGAUUGUAAACUCCUGUCGUUAGGGACGAUAAUGACGGUACCUAACAAGAAAGCACCGGCUAACUACGUG
rnacentral:rRNA from 1 species